GACGAACGCUGGCGGCGUGCCUAAUACAUGCAAGUAGAACGCUGAAGCUUGGUGCUUGCACCGAGCGGAUGAGUUGCGAACGGGUGAGUAACGCGUAGGUAACCUGCCUGGUAGCGGGGGAUAACUAUUGGAAACGAUAGCUAAUACCGCAUAAGAGUAGAUGUUGCAUGACAUUUGCUUAAAAGGUGCAAUUGCAUCACUACCAGAUGGACCCGCGUUGUAUUAGCUAGUUGGUGAGGUAACGGCUCACCAAGGCAACGAUACAUAGCCGACCUGAGAGGGUGAUCGGCCACACUGGGACUGAGACACGGCCCAGACUCCUACGGGAGGCAGCAGUAGGGAAUCUUCGGCAAUGGACGGAAGUCUGACCGAGCAACGCCGCGUGAGUGAAGAAGGUUUUCGGAUCGUAAAGCUCUGUUGUAAGAGAAGAACGAGUGUGAGAGUGGAAAGUUCACACUGUGACGGAAUCUUACCAGAAAGGGACGGCUAACUACGUG
rnacentral:rRNA from 1 species